rnacentral:rRNA from 1 species
GAUGAACGCUGGCGGCGUGCCUAAUACAUGCAAGUCGAGCGAACAGACGAGGAGCUUGCUCCUCUGACGUUAGCGGCGGACGGGUGAGUAACACGUGGAUAACCUACCUAUAAGACUGGGAUAGCUUCGGGAAACCGGAGCUAAUACCGGAUAAUAUAUUGAACCGCAUGGUUCAAUAGUGAAAGACGGUUUUGCUGUCACUUAUAGAUGGAUCCGCGCCGCAUUAGCUAGUUGGUAAGGUAACGGCUUACCAAGGCAACGAUGCGUAGCCGACCUGAGAGGGUGAUCGGUCACACUGGAACUGAGACACGGUCCAGACUCCUACGGGAGGCAGCAGUAGGGAAUCUUCCGCAAUGGGCGAAAGCCUGACGGAGCAACGCCGCGUGAGUGAUGAAGGUCUUCGGAUCGUAAAACUCUGUUAUUAGGGAAGAACAAAUGUGUAAGUAACUAUGCACGUCUUGACGGUACCUAAUCAGAAAGCCACGGCUAACUACGUG